rnacentral:misc_RNA from 1 species
UCCACCUCCUCCUUUUCAGCCUGACUAGCAGAAGCAGUUGGAUCUUGUGCAGAGCCCAUUUCCUUCUCGACCUUAGCCUGCAUUUCGCGAAGAGCACCUGCUUCAUCCUCAAUCUCCUUCAAUCUCUUCUUCAUAUUCUCUAACUCCUUAGCAUUAGGGUCAUCCUCAGAUUCAGCAGCAGCAGAUGUGUCAUACUCGGCAUCCAUCUCUCCUUCUUCAUCAGGUAUUUCUCCUCCGUAAACCUCGUGCUCGUGUUCAUCAUCGUAUUCGUUGUCCUGGUGCUCCAUCUCCUCUCUCUCUAACUGUACUACAACACAAGUGUUCCCUCACGGCGGAGAAGGGCCGGCAGACGCGGCGGUGGAGUGAAAUUGAUUUUUCUAGGUUUUCAAAUACGGGGAUUGGAAGUAGGGGGCAGAAAAGUCGGUCGGUG